UACGGGGGGGGCAAGCGUUGUUCGGAAUUACUGGGCGUAAAGGGCUCGUAGGCGGCCAACUAAGUCAGACGUGAAAUCCCUCGGCUUAACCGGGGAACUGCAUCUGAUACUGGAUGGCUUGAGAUUGGGAGAGGGAUGCGGAAUUCCAGGUGUAGCGGUGAAAUGCGUAGAUAUCUGGAGGAACACCGGUGGCGAAGGCGGCAUCCUGGACCAACACUGACGCUGAGGAGCGAAAAGCGUGGGGAGCAAACAGGG
rnacentral:rRNA from 1 species